GGAGGAGUGGCUGAGUGGUUGAAGGCGCCCGGCUCGAAACCGGGUAGGGGGGCAACCCCCUCGUGGGUUCGAAUCCCACCUCCUCCG
rnacentral:tRNA from 1 species